rnacentral:lncRNA from 1 species
AGAAUUCCACUGGAGGCCUUGAGGCAAUACAACAAACACCUUGUGUGCAGGGUGGAGCAAGGAUCAAUUCGUAACAUUGUUAGUGGCUGACUUUGCAAGUAGAUCUUCUCUCCUUUUCUGAGUCCUUCAUCUCCCUCUAUAACCUGCGUCUUGACACAUCAAAUUACUGCCUGUAAUCACCUGUAAUUUUGCUUUCUUGAAAGCAUGGGGCGUGGGUUCCUUCCUCUCUUCAUGACUUGCUUUAGCGGCACCAGGUUGAGAUCGUGGUGCGCUCCCAGGACCCGGAUCGGGCGGAUUCUUGUAGACAUCUUCCAGAAUGCUGGCUACUUUCAACUUUAGGCCAUCUACCCUCUGUCUUAGGAUCCGGAAUAGAACUACAAGAUCACUUGAUAUUUCAGUAGCUCUAUUGGCUCUAUUUCGGGUUCCUGCAUGGUCUUGAGAUUUUGCUUGGAUGGGUUUGACGCUUUCUCUUUGGUGGUUCGAUUUCUGUUGGUUUCGGGUUUCAUGGAAUUGGCUAUGGCGAUCUACAAGAUGGGGUUUCAG